rnacentral:rRNA from 1 species
CUUGAAGUUCAGACAAGGACAAGGAUUGGGAUUGGGAUGGACUUUUCUGCCAGACUUAGACUUGGAAGGCGACGAAGGUGGAGCCUAGCUACUAGCUUGCUUUUUCGGAGCGAGCGAACGUGG